rnacentral:rRNA from 1 species
UACGUAGGUGGCAAGCGUUGUCCGGAUUUACUGGGCGUAAAGCGUGCGCAGGCGGUUUUGUAAGCCAGAUGUGAAAGCCCCGGGCUCAACCUGGGAAUGGCAUUUGGGACUGCAAGGCUUGAGUGCGGCAGAGGAGACUGGAAUUCCUGGUGUAGCAGUGAAAUGCGUAGAUAUCAGGAGGAAUACCGAUGGCGAAGGCAGGUCUCUAGGCUGACACUGACGCUCAUGCACGAAAGCGUGGGGAGCAAACAGG